GGAAGGUGACCUGGCUGUGAGAUCUGAUAUGCCACUGAUUGUAUGGGUUGAUCUGACUGAUCUGGCUAGCUUAGGCAGGUGUUCUCUUUCUUCCUUGACAUUCCGUGUGUGUUCCUCUUAAUGAUGUGUGCUUGGUUAAUGAGUAGAGCCUCCCCAACAGACAUGGUAUUGUUCAUUGGUCAAAGAGGUGUGGUAGUGGUGCUCCCCUGUUGGAAGCUCUAAGUAAGCUCAAGGUCCAGAUAAAUGUAAGGUAAUCAAGCAUCCAAUAUUGAAGACACAUCCAAAUGAGAAGCUGCAUGCACCAGUCUGCCGCUGGCUUU
rnacentral:snRNA from 1 species